AUGCCCAUGAUCUCUUCCUGCCUCUUCCGAUCUGCUCACCCUUUGCUGUCAUCAACAAUAACCCUGAUGGUAAAUAUAAUAAUAAUAAUAAUAAUAAUAAUAAUAAUAAUAAUAAUAAUAAUAAUAAAUAAUAAUAACAUGAUUGUCUGUUUCUGUCCAUGCAGUCAGAGUUUCGGCAUGUCCAGAGGGUGGCUGUGGGGUGCCCCCUCCAGCAGGACAGGGUUUUUCUGGAGCCUGGAGGUGCUGCUGCUCUCCACGGGAGACGAGAGGAGCAGCAGGACAGCCCAGCCACUCGAUGCUCUGCAGCCACCACCAGCUGAUUUAAACAACCCAAGGGUCCCGAUGGGAGAAGACUGGCCGUGACAAAGGACAUUUCAGCAGCACCGCCAGAGCUGCUUCGAUAACUCAGCCCCCAUCCAAGAAGGUGUUGAGACAGAACCCAGCGGUUACAGGUUGCAAGGAAAUCAUUCCCUUAAUGCCCCUAAAGACGCACAGACUUUCUGCACCCUCUGCACCUCAUCCUGGGGUUUCUUUUCGUGCCCCUCGCUGGGUGUUCAGAGCACAGCUUUAGGGACCAGCACCGGAGCACACGGCACUUGUACCAGUGCCAUUGCUGAUCACGAUUACUAUACCCGUUUGUGCUGUAGCCUGCCAAAUAGCUGCGGACUGCAGGAGUGGAGACAGCAGGACUGGAGGGCCACAAAAGCACUUGGGUUCGUGUGUCCCUGCACUGCCUGCUCCCCGUCCCGCUCUGUGGCUGCAGGAGCAGCCAGCACCCAGCUUUACCCUGUGCCAGAUAUCUGCAUGGGUGCCCUGCAGCAUCUGUGCACCCAGCCGACCCCAAAUAAACACGGCUGGAGCCCCCA
rnacentral:lncRNA from 1 species